UGCCUGCCCGAGGCGCAGCGCGACGACCGGCUCCUCGCUGCUGCUCCUGCGCCACGAUGGCUGGGGCUGGCAGGCUGCAUCCUGCUGCGGGGAUAGCCAGAUGCUACUGCCGCUGCCACCCUGUUGGGAUCGGGUGGAGGCGCCUGCCGCUCCUUCUGCUCUGUCUGUUGUUGUUGCUUUGGGCGGGCGCCGCUACUCAGGGGGAGAAUCUCCACGCCUGCAAAGAGUCUGAAUACCAUUAUGAAUACACAGCAUGUGACAGCCUGGGCUCCAGAUGGAGAGUUGCUGUGCCUCACACACCAGGACUCUGCACUGGCCUGCCAGACCCCAUCAAAGGCACAGAAUGCUCAUUUUCCUGCAAAGCAGGUGAAUUCUUGAAUAUGAAAGAUCAGUCAUGCAAGCCAUGUGCAGAGGGCACAUAUUCUCUGGGGACUGGUGUCAGGUUCGAUGAAUGGGACGACUUGCCCCAUGGAUUUGCCACCAUAGCAACCAAUCUUGAAAUUGAUUACAGCUUCACAGAGUCCUUGGGAAACUGCACCACGUCAACAUGGCUUCCUAAGGGAGAUUAUAUUGCCUCCAACACAGAUGAGUGCACAGCUACUCUGAUGUAUGCUGUUAAUCUCAAGCAAUCUGGCACUGUCUCCUUUGACUACAUCUACCCCGAUAGCAACAUCGUCUUUGAAUUCUUUGUUCAGAAUGAUCAGUGCCAGCCGACUGUAGAGGAGUCUCGAUGGAUGAGAACUACAGAGAGAGGGUGGGAGACACACAGUGUGGAACUAAGUCGUGGCAACAAUGUCUUGUACUGGAGAACAACGGCUUUCUCGGCUUGGUCCAAAACCCCCAAGCCUGUGUUGGUGAAGAACAUUGAGAUUACAGGAGUGGCCUACACUUCUGAAUGCUUCCCUUGUAAAGCAGGUACCUACACAGCCAAAUCUGGUUCUUCCUUCUGCCAGCAGUGCCCAGCAAAUUCUUUCUCUUCCAAAGGAGCUACUUCCUGCCAGCAGUGUGAGCCAGCAAAUUACUCAGAACCAGGUUCUUCCUCCUGUGAGCCUCGCCCAGCCUGUACAGAUAAGGAUUAUUUUUAUAUUCACACUGCCUGUGAUACAAAUGGGGAGACUCAGCUAAUGUAUAAAUGGGCUGAGCCAAAGAUCUGCAAUGAAGACCUCUCCAAUGCAGUGCAAUUACCUCCAUCGGGUAUAAAGAUGAUGUGCCCCCCUUGCAACCCUGGCUUUUUCAAGACAAAUGCCAGUUCCUGUGAGCCCUGCCCAUAUGGAACAUACUCAAAUGGGUCUGGUUGUACCAACUGCCCAGUUGGGACUGAGCCCUCCCUGGGCUUUGAAUACAAAUGGUGGAAUACUCUGCCAGCUAACAUGGAGACUACAGUGCUCAGUGGAAUCAGUUUUGAAUAUAAGGGAAUGGCAGGGUGGGAAGUGGCUGGUGACUACAUAUACACAGCAGCAGGAGCUUCUGACAAUGAUUUCAUGAUUUUAACAUUGGUGAUUCCUGGAUUCAGUCCCCCACAAUCAGUGAUGGAGGACUCUGAAAAUAAGAAGAUAGCAGAAAUCACUUUUGUCUUUGAAACUAUCUGCAGUGUGAAUUGUGAGCUUUAUUUUAUGGUGGGUGUGAAUUCUAGAACCAACACCCCUGUAGAAACCUGGGUUGGCUCUAAGGGAAAACAAUCCUAUACGUACAUCGUUGAAAAGAACGCUACCAUGAGUUUCACGUGGGCCUUCCAGAGGACAGCAUACAAUGAUGUGGGAAGAAAAUACACAAAUGAUGUUGCCAAAUUGUACUCUAUCAAUGUGACCAAUGUCAUUGAUGGUGUAGCUUCCUACUGCCGGCAGUGCGCUCUGGAAACCUCUGGUUCAUCCUGUACUUCCUGCCCUGGUGGGCACUACAUUGACAAAAGUUCUGGUGGUUGUUAUCCAUGUCCAUCAAACACUUACCUGAAAGCUCACCAACCUUAUGGCAAUCAGGCUUGCAUCUCUUGUGGCCCUGGCACAAAAAGUAACAAGAUGCAUUCUCUGUGCUACAAUGACUGUCACUUCUCAAUCAGCAUGGCGGAUAGGACUAUGGAGUAUGACUUCUCCAUAUUGGCUAAUAGCACCUCCUUUUUAGGAGGGCCAAGCUUUACUUCAAAAGGCCUGAAGUAUUUUCAUCAUUUCAACAUCAGUCUCUGUGGGAAUCAUGGAAGGAAGACAGCUCUCUGCACAGAUAAUGUCACAGAUAUUCGCAUUUUGGGCAAAGACACUGAGUUCUCUAAGUCAACUUCAUCCUAUGUAUGCCAGUCCAUCAUCAUUCCUUCCGAUGUGAUGGGUUACAAGACAGUUGUCUCUUCUCAGCCCGUGAGCCUGGCAGACAGCUUUGUGGGAGUAACAACAAAGCCAACUCUGGACAACAUAACUUCUCUUGCUGAUUAUUUCCCUGCUGAAAAUGUGGGCUUACCUGAUGUCAUAUUCUUUUAUAGAUCCAAUGAUGUGACCCAGACAUGCCGUGAUGGAAGAGCCACUGCCAUAAGACUGAGAUGUGACCCCCUAAAAUCCCAGUUUGGAGCUCUCUCCGUGCCAAGCAAAUGUCCUGAUGGAACCUGCGAUGGGUGCACAUUCCAUUUCUUGUGGGAGUCUGUUGAAGCCUGCCCUCUCUGUUCUGUAGAUGAUUACCAUGCCAUCAUCAGUGCCUGCAUUGGAGGGAUACAGCGAACCACUUAUGUAUGGCGGAAACCAAAGCUAUGUGCAGGAGGCAUCCUGCUUCCAGAGGAAAAAGUCAGCAUCUGCAAGUCCAUGGACUUCUGGCUCAAGGUGGGCAUAUCAGCUGGGACUUGUGCUGCUAUCCUGCUGACUGUCAUGACAUGCUACUUCUGGAAGAAAAAUCAAAAGUUAGAGUAUAAAUAUUCUAAGCUGGUUAUGAAUGCUAGUGCCAAGGACAGUGAACUGCCUGCAGCUGACAGUUGUGCCAUCAUGGAGGGGGAAGAUGCAGAGGAUGACCUGAUAUUCACAAGCAAGAAUUCUCUCUUUGGGAAAAUAAAGGCAUUCACUUCUAAAUGCACUGAUACCUCCCAGUAGAAGCAAAAUCAUGUGUGGACAUCUGGGGAAGAAACAUCAAAAGCAAGUUUCUGAGAACAUCUGAUGGUUUUGACUCCGUGCCCCUGAAGACCUCCUCUGGCACCACAGAUAUGGAUCUUUAGAAGUGACUUGCAUCUCCCCUGCCUUUGCUGGAGGAUGCUUUGGGAGUUCUCCUUGGUUAAUACCAGCACUUUGAUGAACUUGCCAUGUGGCCUUAUUGGAAUAUCUUUUAACUUCACCUUCUUACUGUACGUUUUUAAGUCAAACAUUUUAACAUUCCUCCAAAAACAAAACUGCCAAAUAUAAGUGUGCUUUUAAAAUUAUAUGUAGAUAUAUAUUUGUAUGUUUCUUGCAUACAUUGUGCCCUCUUUUGUGAUAUAGAAAAAAAUUAAUCCCACAAAAAGUUACGUUUUCCACAGUACAGCUAGUGACCUUAUGCACAUUCUCUCUUUGCCCUAAAUAGCUAACACACUGUAAAAUUGUCCUAAAGUCACUCCACUCAGAGAAACCGCUUAUCUGGGCAAGACCCUUUGCACCAAAAGGUCUUACUGUUGAGAGGAAUGUGUAGAAUUGCGCUGUAAAACUUUCCAUCUGCUUUUUGUGGCUUGCUACAAAAGUCCAACAGUACAACAACAGUUGCAUCAAACAGUUUGCCUCUCUAAAGAUUUUACUGCACCAGUGAGAGGUAUUGGGCUUAGCUGCAAAAUCCUGCAUUGUAACACGUGACUCCUCAACAGAGCAGGCCUGACUUUCUCUGUCAGCAUACCUAGUUGUUCUGCAUUUGUCUCUAUUUCCUGUCCUUUUUAUUUUAAAACAACAAGGAAAAAAUUUAUCUGUCUACUAACCUUCUCUAAGACUUGAAAACUGUUCUUUGCCUUCCUGAUGGCCCUUCAGGAAAAUGUAUUGUGGUCAAGAAGUUGUUCUGCUAGUGCACCUAUCAUGAUAGUAGCAUAUGUGAAGCUCCAUGGUCUAAUAAGGUUUCUGCCACAUCAUGCAACUCGAUCAAUUUAGGAUUGUGUUCCUAAGCUCUGUGAAUUGAAAUUGUUAUGGCAAUGGCUGCAAUGAUCAAGAAAAGCCUCCAGCAUAGCAAACCAAAAUCAGGAUAUUAUAUAUUUAACAGGUUCUGCAUCUCACAUUCAAGAUGAGUGGAAUGGCUUUUAGAAAAUGUUUCCAAUUCUGAAUUCAGAUGUCCAUUUAAACCCAUAAUCACUCUUUGUAGGAAAAUGCUGAAUCUGCUUAGUAUUUCAAGCAAUUUGAAAAUACUUGCCAUAUAGAAUAGGUCCUUCUCUCUUCCCUGUCCCAUAAGAAUCUUCUGUUUUUCCUGCUGUUUUCAAUGCCUUCUAUAGUUUGAAGAGUUUCUCCAAUUUGGUACCCUACAGAGAUAGUGGCUGGCUGGGGAUAAUGGGGUUGUAGUUUGACAUAGCUGGAAGUCAUCAGAUUAUAGAAGCUGCCUUAAAUUGAAUACUACGCGAAUUAUUUUGAAUGAAUACUCAAGGGCACAAAGGACUAUACAGGAGACGUAAAAACAAGGCCUCCUGAGAUUAGCUUCAACUGUAUGUUAAAUGUAUUAUGAAGGUUAAAACAAAUGAAAAUGGCUCAAGAUACAUCAAUGUUUUGAGUUCAGCUAUUCUGCUGUGAUUUUUAUCUUGAUUUUAUUCUCUUGCAGAAUUUUUCAGAAUAACUAGCUAAAGAUUAUGUCUUCUAUUAUACUUGGGAAAGACUAACAACUUGGACAGCUGGAUUCAGGCAACAUCUAACAACUGGCAAUUGCCAAGUUAAAGUUGACUGAUUUUGUUCCUUUGUUUGUUUUGGCAGGUUAGAAUAACCUUCAGCAUACUGCAGUUAAACAGAGAAUUAUACAGAAACCGAGUUCCUUCUUUGACAGUGUACUUCCUGUCUACUCAGAAAUAAUUCCCACUGAAUUCAGUAGGGCUUUCUCCCACAUAAAAGGUUAAGAGAUUGCAGAUUCAUCCUUUAAAUUUAAUAAUAUUUCAGUUCUCCAUUGGAUUCUUCUGGAUAUCCAUAUACUCUGCUUUGUGUAUAGUGUAAAAAGAAAAGCAGCACUGUUUUCAGGUAUGUACUCAAAGCACCCCCUAUAG